rnacentral:rRNA from 2 species
GGAUGCGAUCAUACCAGCACUAAAGCACCGGAUCCCAUCAGAACUCCGAAGUUAAGCGUGCGUGGGAGAGAGUAGUACUAGGAUGGGUGACCUCUUGGGAAGUCCUCGUGUUGCAUUCC